UCUCUCUUAAGAAGGUCUAAUAGAGUAAGGGAAAACCUUGAMAAAAAACCAUUGUGGCGGUCUUUAACCAACCUAGAGAAGCAUGUAAUGUAAAUGAAAAUACCCAAAAAACCUUUCUUCAAUUCGAACUAAACAUUUUGUACACCGCUGUCUGAAAGUUGAAUAAAAUUCUGUCAACUCAAUUCACAAUAAGAGGAAAUAAGGCAAGUAAAGGUGCAGAUUAUAUUGAGAGAAAUUAUGUGCCUCUAUAAUAAUUCUGGAUGUUAAGUCUGAAACUCUGACAAAAAAGGAAUUUAAUUGUAAAA
rnacentral:rRNA from 1 species